GUUCUGGGCUUGCCUGGGAGAAGGAGCUGUUGCAGUCUUGCACGAUCAAAAUAGGGCCUUUAGGUUUGAAGGAUGAGGUUGAGCCCAUAUUUUGACUCCAAAUGUCGGGGGAGGGGAGAAGAAGUCGACAGAUCCAAACAAGGAACAUUUGAAAAGCGCCUCGUGUGAUCUGGAACAAAGACGUUUUAUAAUCAGAUUUAUCAAGCUGCGAAGAGGGAGUUUUAGUGAACGGAAGCAGCAGCAUUCUGUCACCAGGAAAUACUCCUUUAUCCAGAAUUGGUAAGUGAAAAGUGGCAUUGCUCCCUAAUAGAUAUCAUAUGCGUGUGUGGGAAUUGAAAAAUUGUUCACAGACCCCUAACAACUGUGUUGAACAGAGAACACAUAAACAGUGAGGAGUUCUAAAAAAGAGCAGCACGAGAAUACCGCAUAAAGACUGAGAAGAAGCCAGGUAAUUAACAAAAAUGAGCUGAGUGCUAUCAGUUUAGCUAAACAUAUGUAAUACAGCUAGAUUUGGUUGUUUUAUUUUUUCUUGUUAGUGGAGGAGAAACAUAAAAUCAGAAUGGGCUGUUUAGUAGAAUUGCGACAUUAACUUUCCAUGGAUGUAGAUUUCCAUUUAGUCUGAAUAGCAUGUAUGAAAUUUGAAGGGAUGCUUUCAGAAUUAGUCUACUUGCCCUCCUUUCCUUUCCUCUGCAUUAAGAUGUCAAGUAUUUAGUUAGAACCUUACAAGAUGAAAGUUGUACAAAAUGAAAGUUCAAGUAAUGCGUCGGAAACACCUCUCCUGAUUGGGAAGGGUAGAUUACAAUGGCAAUAGAUUUUUGUUUUUUGUUUCUUACAUUUGUGUCACGAAUUUUAAGUUUGUUCUAUUGGAUUACAUUAGUACAGCAAAAGGGGGGUUAUUUCUAUCUAUAUGGUUCAUGACAUUUUGAGAGGUCGUGAUUAGUAGUUCUUACUGGUUUCGUAUGCGUGUUCCUGCCUGUUGAAUUCAGUUUUCUAAUCUUGAAUCUGAGCUGCCUUUAUGUUAAAGGGUUCUAGAAAAAGACAAUAAAGCUUUGAAUACCCGUGUUAUAUAC
rnacentral:lncRNA from 1 species